rnacentral:rRNA from 1 species
GGAUGCGAUCAUACCAGCACUAAAGCACCGGAUCCCAUCAGAACUCCGAAGUUAAGCGUGCUUGGGCGAGAGUAGAACUAGGAUGGGUGACCUCCUGGGAAGUCCUCGUGUUGCAUUCC